CACAUUCAUCAUCUGUGACUCCUCUCCCCCCCGUUUAAAACCCCCUCCUCCUCCUCCUCCUCCUCCCCCCUCCUCCCCUCCCCUUCUCCUUUCUCUCCCCCUCUCUCUCUGGCAUCUUUCAAACUGCGCAGAGGCUCCUGAUUGGCUGCCUGACAGGCUUUGGUGUGAGGUGUGAGGGGGUGUGGAGCUGCAGCCAAUCACGUCCUCCCUCCGUCUCCCAGCCCCCUCUGCCAUGAAUAUUCACCCGCCUGUACCAUAACCUCCCCCUUCCCUCCCCCCCUUCCCCUCCUCCUUCCUGGAUGAAAAAAAUCCCCUCUGAGAUUUAAAUCCGCCCUCCCCCUUCCUCAUUCUUAUGUAGAAGAACAGCAGCCUCUCAAACAUGGAGGGACGGCAGCUCUCGCUUUGUGUCGCCAACACAAUGGACUCGGUCCCUCCCCACCUUCCCCGUCCCCUCCCCGCCUCCUGCGUCCCUCCCCACCUUCCCCGUCCCCUCCCCGCCUCCCGCGUCCCUCCCCGCCUCCUGCGUCCCUCCCCACCUUCCCCGUCCCCUCCCCGCCUCCUGCGUCCCCCCCCCUCCCUCUGCAGAUUUCAGGUUGCGCUGCAGCAGCUUGUUCUGAAGUGCAGCCUCUCUGCUCGCAGUUCGGGCUAUAAAUAACUCGGCGGCCAUCUUAUCUUUUUGUGUUGUAACCCUGUAGAGGAGAGGGAAGGGAGGAGGGGAGCAGGACGGCUCUGGGGACAAAUAUGACGAGGGUCACAUGACCAAAGACAUUAGCUAAAGGCCUCCAAUCUUCAGCGGUGGCGAGCUGUUAAACAGGAAUAAAUGACUGAAGGUACUGAUUGGUGAGGCGGCGGUGCAGAGCUGUGGUUGUCUGUGGGUUGAAAUGGCUGCUCGUGUUUAAGGCUGUUGUGCAGACUGUGAAACAGAGACAGAGACACGUCCACAUGUGAGACAAGGACGAGCACAGGCUGAAGACCUCAUCCCCUUCAGGCCAUGCUGGGACACUUGAUGAACAGAGCGGAGCCCAUUUAAAUAUUUUAUGUCACAGUUCAAGUUUAAUGUGGGUAAAUAUGUUCAGUCAAAAUGGACAGGAUAAAGACAACUGACUGAAGGCAUCAGUUUACUGAGUGAGCAUCUUUCAGGACACAUGAGGUGUAUGCUGUACGUGGGACCUUCACACUAAAACUAGGCUAACGUGACCAGUCCUGCACAGGGCAUGUGGACAGAAUUCAGUAUUGAUCACAGGGUCUGAAUACUUAUGUAUGUGUUAUAUUGUUCUUUUAAUAAAUUUUCAAAAAAAUCGAGCAAACUUGUUUCACUUUGUCAUUAUGAGGUAUUUUGUGUGGAAUUUUGAGGGAGAAAUUUAAUUGAAUCCGUUUUGGAAAGAGACUGUAACAUAACAAAAUGUGGAAAAAGCCAAGCGGUGUGAAUUCUGUCCAGAUGAACUGUAUAUUUUGUUGAGUUCUGGACUUAGAUUACCUCAAAUUCAAAAGUGAAUCCUAAAUACCCCCAACGCAAGAGCUGCCAUCGUUGUGCCUCGUUGUGGUGAUGUCAUCUGGAGCCAGACUCUGUACAGUAGUGACCGGGAGGAGGCGCUGCUGUGUCAAGUUCCUGUCCAAACACCCGUCUGAGCCAAUCAGGAGCAGCGAUCAGCCGUCACCGUUCUUCAUAAUUAACUUUUGAACAAACAUGAUCAUCAGCAUGAUAACAUUGACAGAAACCAUCUUUGGGAAAACUUCAUUUGACGUGUACUUUGGGUUUUUAGUUCGGAUCAUGUCCCAGAUAGAUAGAAACUUUAUUGAUCCCAAGGGAAAUGCUAACAUGGAGGGGGAGGAGCUUAUGAGCUGUACUGCAGCCAGCCACCAGGGGGCCAGCAAAGCUCCGUUUGUUUUAUUUAAUCAAUUCCAUCUUAACGUACUCUAAUAACUGACUGCCUUUUAUAUGUUGUCGGUUUGGUACCUCAUCAGUAACGAUGUGGGUUUACAGGACAAUAGAAGGUAAAGAGGUCUAUUAUCCAAUGGGUUUUACUAAAACUAUAUUUGACUCAAAGUUUGUUAAUUGAAACAUAAAUGUUGAUAUUAAAAGGAUUUGUGUGUUACAGAAUAUUCAUGACGUCAUGUUGGCUUCAGAGGGAGGAAACAGUCGAAAAUCUCAAGUCUUUGAGAGGCUUUUUAAAGGUCAGCAAACAUCUCCAAUCACUGACAGCUGUGGUUCUGAGUCCGUGCGGAAGACAAACACGACUGUUUGUUAGUCGACUCAGCAUCAGUCAGAACUGCUGGGCCAUCAGUCCAGACUGGGACCACUGGAUGGCUUCCAUGUGACGUUCACGGUCCCCACAGACCAGUUAUGGGCUGCAACUCUUUGUGCCUCAUAUUAGCUUGCUGAUGUUAGCAUUUAGCUGAAGUACAGCCUGGCAGAGCAGCUGUCAUGGCUGCCACCUGUCAGUCCAGAGUGGUCUUAAUGAGGCCGGUUCUGAUCUUUAAAUGUGACUGCAUGAGUUAAGCCCAUCAGGUAGGGAGACAUAAACUCUACGCUUGUUUUUAACUGGAAUGAGGAAAAAUUGGAUUUAUUUAUUAUUUAUUUUAUGUGACCAAGAUGAGGGAAUGAGCCCUUUGAUGAAGUCAAAACGAAGAUGAUUUAUUUCAUGUAAAUUGAAUUAGCGCUUGAACGUGGAGGAGCAGACCGAAACAAGCUCUUCAUUUACACUCAGGAGCAACAAACAGUGUGUGAAAGUGUGUGUGGUCAGUGCCGCCGCUGUGCGAGGACGCCUCCUGACAUAAACACCCGCUGGUCCUAACGGCCAUGACUCGACAAUGUGGCUCUGCUCAGUGAAGCGGCUUACAACACACCAAAGCUGCUGAGUCCAACAGUCUCCUGUCCCAGGUCUGACUGUGGACACGAUCCUCCAGUUUGACUGGGUUAAAGGAACAGUUCUGCAUUUUAGGAAAAGAUUGCUGCCACUCUCGUAUGUGUACGGUGAAUAUGAAGCCGUUAGUAAAGUCGGUGAGGAGAAACGUGCAAUUCCACAGAAAUAAUGAGGCAAAGUAAACCAGUUUAACGAGAGCUUCUGUCUCUUCGUUAAUCAGCGUGCUGAGGAUGGUGGACAGACAGGCUAGUCUUUAUGCUAAGCUAACUAGCAGCAGUCUGUUGGCACUGCUUCACUGAGCCUUCCUGUCAGACAUGGUUUAUAACAGGGCUAUUAGUAACACACAGACAAUAACUGAUAUUUGGAGCUCAUUUACAUUUGGAACAAAUACUUUAGUGUCAAAGUUUAGAAUAACGCGUAUCCAAGCACUGCUUAUUCCACUAAGCACGAGAAUUAUGUAGAAUUUUGAGAAACUUGUACUUUGAUUCUUUCCAUUUGCUACUACUUUGUACUUCAUUAAAAGUCACAGCUAUGAUGUUUUACGACUGCUUAUGUGUUAAUAAAUGUGCUCAUUAUGGAUGCCCCCGUGCGGAUGUUGAAGGGCUGCGAUACCAAUCUUUGACCAGAUAUCGUAUAAGCAAAUUUCCUUUAAUGGCAAACACUGAACAUGACAGGUGAGACUCUAUGGACACAACAGACAGACACGAUGAUGACGGUUUCCUACAGACUGUCGGGUGUCAAAGGCACCAGGCUGAAAGCUCGGUGACUCACGUCCAGGCCCGGCUGUGCAGCGGGAGUCCAGCUGAGACCCUCAGGGAGGAAACCACGUCACGAAGCGUCCACGUCCACGUCCACGUGCGACCGAGACAAACCAGUGACACGUCUAACCGACAGGUUUCCAGGUUCAGAGUUCCCUUCAGACCAGCAGGGCUCUGCUCGGUUCACUUAAAGGCUCAGUUCACCCAAAUCACACACACGGUUUUGACACUGAGCAUGCUUAAACCUAAACGGCCAUCAGAGAUCCACAAAACAAACUUCUAGUGCUAAAGCAGUUAAUCUGAUUCGUCACACCUCAGUGAACAGAAAGCACAGCAGGUCACAUCAGGGAGGAGGGAAGGCUGAGAUUUAGAUGGGAAGUGAAAACUGUGUGUGCUUCAGAAGAACCGACGCUUUAAAAGAUUCCUCCGCUGUUGGUUCAAGUCUUUACAUUUUAUUCAUGAAAAUGGAGCUUUGUUUGUUUCAACUUGUUAUGUAUCAGCACUCGUAGCUUAUUCAUGUGACAAACUGUGGACUGAUGACACUCAAGUGUCCACAAGGACAAAAACACACAGGAAGGAGCUGAGAGGCUUGAAACAAGCUAACAGGAAGUUAACGUGGAGGAAAAGCAGCAGAUUCCUUCCUCCGAGGGAAACUGAUUCUCAUUCACAAAUUAAACGGUGAAGAAAUCAGGACUUUAACUGACAGCAGAGGAACCUUUCAGACAAAACGUCUCGAGCAGAUGACACGACGCACAGAUCAAAGUCAGGACCUGGACCAGACUGACAUCCUGCGGCCGGGAGCUGAGAAAUGAGCCAGGUGUGAGGUGUUCUUUCUGUAGAAACGAACCAGCAGGAACGACGACAGCCCGACAGGAAGCCGUCGGCUUACUUCAGC